rnacentral:rRNA from 1 species
GCACUAAUCCUCCCAGGGGAACCUGGCCCUUAAUUCGAUGACCCACGAACCUCUUACCCCUUCUAGUUUUUCCUAUCUUAUCACAGGAAAAGACCAGCUUGCAUACCGCCGUUGUUCAGCUUAUACCGUGAGGGAACAGAAAUAGGCAACGCAGCAAUAUUUGAUUGCUUCUAAUUCAGGUAAACGUGUAGCCUAUGAAGGGGGGCCGCUGGGUUACAGUAACAGCUUAACUGGAACUUAUGUUAAAACAGAACGCGAAAGAGGACUUGGAAGUAAUAACUCUAGCUAAAGGAGUUGUGAAUAGAGCUCUAGUGUGUGU